rnacentral:lncRNA from 1 species
GGCUGAGGCAGGAGAAUCGCUUGAACCUAGAAGGUUGCAGUGAGCCCAGAUCGCACCUUUUCACUCCAGCCUGGGCAACACAGCAAGACUGUCUCAAAAAAAAAACAAAAAAAAAAACAAAAAAAAACAAAAUAAACCCAAAAAGUCAAAAAACAACAAAUACAAGGGAACACUUAUACACCGUUGGUGGGAAUGUAAAUUGGUUCAGCCACGGUGUAAAGCAGUUUGGAGAUUUCUCACAGAACUUAAAACAGAUAAGAUAAUAUUUGGCUAACAAUAUCUUUUGUAGUCUCUCUCAAUUUCCCUUUAAAAUACUUACAAGACACAGGAAAGACAGAAACACAAAGCAACGCCAGACUAGAUGGAUAUAGCUUAUACAAUCUGCAUUAAACAUCUAUAAUCAUAACAUAAAUAGUACUGAAGUUAGGGUCUCCCUGUACUCUCUCUUCCUCAUAACCAAAAAAGGAGAAAGUACAUCCUCCUUUUGGAAAAGAAGAUAGUUCAUGUUCAUCGAUCCAAGUGUCAUCAAACAGAAAAUUAGAUAGGUAUCUUUUACUGUGAGACAUAUUCUCUCUAAUCAGUGGUGUGAGAACUGUAUUUACCCUUAUAUUUCAACACAUAUUCCAAACAGAAGAAGAAUCAAAGACAUAGUUGCUUAUUUGAUGAGUUGAUCAACUGGGAAUCUAUUGAUCCUCCUCAUCAUUGUUUCUCAACCCCCUCAUGUUUUCACUUCUCCCCUUACCUACCUUAAAUUACAUCAUCAAUCUUUAUAAUUGCUCAUUUGUCCUUUUGUUCUAUUUUAUUGUCUGGAAAACCUCCAACCUUGAUUAAACGUACUGACACGAAACCUGUCUUGUGCACCUGAAAGUUGAUGGAGAAAAUCACUCAACUAGACUGACAUGAGUUAGCUUAAAUUCCUCCCACUAACUCUAGAGGGCCCUUCAUGGUGUCUAUAAAUAUUGCCACAUGUCCAGUUUGUUCACACUCCUGCUUUCCUACCAACUACUUCUCCCUCUAACCCUAAAAUAUGUCAUGUUUCUCCUUAUGUUCUUCUCUAGCCACAGUUCUAUUUCUCUUGUUCCCCUAAAGCUUCAAAACUCCCGGAACUGCUUUUCUAUAUGUCUCCAAGUUGUCUCCUCUCAUUUCCUCUUAGAGCACUGCCAUCACCUCAAGCACCCCACCAAAAUUUGUCUUUGACCUUUACAUUGCUAAAUCUAAAGAAAUUUUUUUUCCUUUUCUUGUUUGAACUAUAACGAGCAUUUCACACAGUCUAUCCCUCCUUUCUUCUAGAAAUUUUUUCUUCACUUGACCCUCUGGUCAAGCAUCAGACUCUCUGGUCCUCCUCUUGUAUCCCAGGAGUAUAAGCAUAGUUCAAUAAGGGCAUGACAAGGUCACUACUGCUAUUUUCUAUUGUCUUGG